rnacentral:rRNA from 1 species
AGUGAACGCUGGCGGUAGGCCUAACACAUGCAAGUCGAACGGCAGCACAGGAGAGCUUGCUCUCUGGGUGGCGAGUGGCGGACGGGUGAGGAAUACACCGGAAUCUACUCUGUCGUGGGGGAUAACGUAGGGAAACUUACGCUAAUACCGCAUACGACCUACGGGUGAAAGCAGGGGACCUUCGGGCCUUGCGCGAUUGAAUGAGCCGAUGUCGGAUUAGCUAGUUGGCGGGGUAAAGGCCCACCAAGGCGACGAUCCGUAGCUGGUCUGAGAGGAUGAUCAGCCACACGGGAACUGAGACACGGUCCAGACUCCUACGGGAGGCAGCAGUGGGGAAUAUUGGACAAGGGGCGCAAGCCUGUUCCAGCCAUACCGCGUGGGUGAAGAAGGCCUUCGGGUUGUAAAGCCCUUUUGUUGGGAAAGAAAUCCAGCUGGCUAAUACCCGGUUGGGAUGACGGUACCCAAAGAAUAAGCACCGGCUAACUUCGUGCCAGCCGCCGCCGUAA